GACGAACGCUGGCGGCGUGCUUAACACAUGCAAGUCGAACGGAAAGGCCCUGCUUUUGUGGGGUGCUCGAGUGGCGAACGGGUGAGUAACACGUGAGUAACCUGCCCUUGACUUUGGGAUAACUUCAGGAAACUGGGGCUAAUACCGGAUAGGAGCUCCUGCUGCAUGGUGGGGGUUGGAAAGUUUCGGCGGUUGGGGAUGGACUCGCGGCUUAUCAGCUUGUUGGUGGGGUAGUGGCUUACCAAGGCUUUGACGGGUAGCCGGCCUGAGAGGGUGACCGGCCACAUUGGGACUGAGAUACGGCCCAGACUCCUACGGGAGGCAGCAGUGGGGAAUAUUGCACAAUGGGCGGAAGCCUGAUGCAGCAACGCCGCGUGCGGGAUGACGGCCUUCGGGUUGUAAACCGCUUUCGCCUGUGACGAAGCGUGAGUGACGGUAAUGGGUAAAGAAGCACCGGCUAACUACGUGCCAGCAGCCGCGGUGAUACGUAGGGUGCGAGCGUUGUCCGGAUUUAUUGGGCGUAAAGGGCUCGUAGGUGGUUGAUCGCGUCGGAAGUGUAAUCUUGGGGCUUAACCCUGAGCGUGCUUUCGAUACGGGUUGACUUGAGGAAGGUAGGGGAGAAUGGAAUUCCUGGUGGAGCGGUGGAAUGCGCAGAUAUCAGGAGGAACACCAGUGGCGAAGGCGGUUCUCUGGGCCUUUCCUGACGCUGAGGAGCGAAAGCGUGGGGAGCGAACAGGCUUAGAUACCCUGGUAGUCCACGCUGUAAACGGUGGGUACUAGGUGUGGGGUCCAUUCCACGGGUUCCGUGCCGUAGCUAACGCCUUAAGUACCCCGCCUGGGGAGUACGGCCGCAAGGCUAAAACUCAAAGGAAUUGACGGGGCCCCGCACAAGCGGCGGAGCAUGCGGAUUAAUUCGAUGCAACGCGUAGAACCUUACCUGGGUUUGACAUGGAUCGGGAGCGCUCAGAGAUGGGUGUGCCUCUUUUGGGGUCGGUUCACAGGUGGUGCAUGGCUGUCGUCAGCUCGUGUCGUGAGAUGUUGGGUUAAGUCCCGCAACGAGCGCAACCCUUGUUCACUGUUGCCAGCACGUUAUGGUGGGGACUCAGUGGAGACCGCCGGGGUCAACUCGGAGGAAGGUGGGGAUGACGUCAAGUCAUCAUGCCCCUUAUGUCCAGGGCUUCACGCAUGCUACAAUGGCUGGUACAGAGAGUGGCGAGCCUGUGAGGGUGAGCGAAUCUCGGAAAGCCGGUCUCAGUUCGGAUUGGGGUCUGCAACUCGACCUCAUGAAGUCGGAGUCGCUAGUAAUCGCAGAUCAGCAACGCUGCGGUGAAUACGUUCCCGGG
rnacentral:rRNA from 1 species